UACGAAGGGGGCUAGCGUUGCUCGGAAUUACUGGGCGUAAAGCGCACGUAGGCGGAUUGUUAAGUCGGGGGUGAAAUCCUGGAGCUCAACUCCAGAACUGCCUUCGAUACUGGCGAUCUCGAGUUCGGGAGAGGUGAGUGGAACUGCGAGUGUAGAGGUGAAAUUCGUAGAUAUUCGCAAGAACACCAGUGGCGAAGGCGCACAUCUGGCCCAAUACUGACGCUGAGGCGCGAAAGCUAGGGGAGCAAACGGG
rnacentral:rRNA from 1 species